rnacentral:lncRNA from 1 species
GGGGGGUCCAUUUCCUUGUAAGUUUUUAGUCUCUUGAAGCCUUUUUGGACUAAAAUCCCCAACAACCGAGGACUAAGACAUGUCUUUGCUUGUACACAUAGCUUCUGCGUUAGUUUUUCUCUUCUGUGGGGACCUACCAAGGUUACGCAGUGUGACUGUUGCGAUGUGAGUGCUUGGAGUGGGUAAAACAAGGUCACCGCCUUGCAGUUCCUCCCAGUUAGUGCUUCUCUCUGAGAAUUGGGGCUGACUUGGCACAAAGCAGUUGUCCUUGGCUUUUCCUUGCCCUUUUGGCCAAUUUAUUUCUCCUAAAGAAAGAAAAAAAUGAUUUCUGAACCCUUUUUUUUCUUUAAUUUUAAUUUUUUUAUUUAUUUUUAUUUUUUGGAGUUCCUCUUGUGGCUCGGUGGGUUAAGAAUCCAACUAGUAUCCGUGAGGAAGCAGAUUCAAUCCCCAGCCUCAUUCACUGGCUUAAGACCUGGUGUUGCUGCAAGCUGCGGUGUAAGAUGUGGCUCAGCUCUGGCAUUGCUGUGGCGUAGGCCAGUAGCUGCAACUCCCAUCCCUAGCCUGGGAACUUGAAAAAAAAAAGGGUUUUUUUCAUUUUUUUAAAAAUUUUUUAUGGUUGCACCAUAAAAAAGUUCCUAGACCGGGGACUGAAUCCAAGCAGCAGCUGCGACCUGUACCUCAUUUGCAGCAAUGCAGCAUCCUUUUAACCCACUGCACCGGGCCAGGGAUGGAACUCAUGCCUAUGAAGCAACCUGAGCUGCUACAGUGGUAUUCUUUUUUUUUUUGUCUUUUGUCUUUUGAGGACUGCACCCACCGCAUAUGGAGGUUCCCAUGCUAGGGGUCUAAUCAGAGCUGUUGCUGCCAGCCUACGCCACAGCCACAGCAACACCAGAUUCGAGCUGCGUCUGUGACCUACACCACAGCUCACGGCAAUGCCGGAUCCUUUAACUAUAGUGGGAUUCUUAACCCACUGUGCCACAGUGGGAAUUCCAGUUGUUAAAUACUCUUUUUUUCUUUCUCUAGGGCCACACCUGUGGCAUAUGGAUGUUCCGAGGCUAGGGAUCAAAUUGGAGCUGUCGAAUAGCCGCUGACCUACCCCACAGCCACAGCAACGCCAGAUCCUUAACCACCGAGCGAGGCCAGGGAUUGAACUCUCAUUCUCACGGAUAUUGGCGGGUUUGUAACUUGCUGGGUCACAGUGGGUACUUCAGUUUUUAAAUACGUUUAACAGCAAAACUUUGCAGUAAAAUGCAAGUAUACCUUCUCUGUACUUCCAACAAAGUAGUAGUUGACAUUUGCCAUCUUCUGUUGACAGUACAUUUUUAUAACAUGACAAUUUGGUCAAAUUUGCGCAUUUUACAAUGUCACUGAAUUGGACUAUGGUUUUCAGGUUGGGAAAGAAAAAAAAAAUCACACUUUAGUAAAAGACCAGUGGAUUAAUUAAACAACCUACUUAUGGAGUUCUCGUGGCAUGGUAGGUUAAGGAUUUGGUGGUGUCACUGCAGCAGCGUGAUCGACCCCGUGCCUGGGAACUUUCACCUGCCACAGGUGA